GACGAACCGUGCGAACGUUAUUCGGAAUCAUUGGGCUUAAAGGGCGCGUAGGCGGCGGUGUAAGUUGGAAGUGAAAUCCUAUCGGCUCAACCGUGGAAUUGCUCCCAGUACUGCACUGCUCGAGGGGGAUAGGGGUCUGCGGAACUACCGGUGGAGCGGUGAAAUGUGUUGAUAUCGGUGGGAACGCCAGUGGCGAAAGCGGCAGACUUGACCCUUCCUGACGCUGCAGCGCGAAAGCUAGGGGAGCAAACAGG
rnacentral:rRNA from 1 species